GGUCCGUUGGUCAAGGGGUUAAGACACCGCCUUUUCACGGCGGUAACAGGGGUUCGAAUCCCGUACGGACUA
rnacentral:tRNA from 1 species